UGAUAACUAAAGUUUACUGUUGCUUAUACCAUAUGUUAUAUGACACAUUGGAUUUCUAAAGUUUGUCAUAGAUAUGAUAUGAAUUGAGGUCAUUGUAUCUCAUUACCGAAUUUAUUUAUUUAUUAAUUUUCUAUCUAUAAGAGUUCCUUCUGAUGGUUGUUCUUUUUGUUGGUUUCUUUUGCAGUAAUGGUCAAUAGUAGUAGAGUUUAAUAUCUAGUUUUGUGUCAUUACAGUCGGCAUGUAAUUUUAUUUCUUUGUGUAUUUGGGUAUGAACUUGGAAUGAAGCAUGUUUUGUUCUUCCAUGGAAACAUGAAUUAUGAACCGACCACAUGGCCAAUUUAGAAUACCGAAUGGGUGUCAGGCUGUCUGCCACUGAUGCUUCAGUGUGGGGAAAACAUAUCACUGCUCUAUUUUUAUUUUUGUUUGUAUUUUAUUAAGAAAACAAAUGAAAUCAUCAUUUUUCCUAGUUGGUACUCACACACCCCUAUUGAUUCAAUGUUUUGAAACAUUGUUCAAUUUUAUGUCAGUGGAUUUAUUUUGUUUCUUUAGAGAGAAAUAGUUGAACCAUAUGGAUAGAUACUAUCAGGAGAGUUUAGUCUUUAUCAUGGAUUGUUCAUUUAAGCUAAUCAUUUCUAUCUAUUAAUUCGCUGUAAACAAAAACGUGGAAUUGAGUCCACAUCGCAAAAGAUGUCAUAAUAGUAGGUAAUCAUUCGAAACUUAUUAAUUUGCAGUAAACAAAAACGUGGAAUUUGAAAGUCAUAAAACCACAACUUGCUUUCAUUUUCUAGGUUUUCUUUUAUUAAUUUAUCCUUGAAUGCAUGAUCAUUUUUGGCUCUGGCCCAUGUAUGGAAUAGGACGACUUAUUUUUGGCUCUCGCCCAAUCCAAGUUAAACAAUGAAGUACUAGAAAUAACUUUUAUGGAAUAGGAUUUGACUUCCAAAGAACAGAAUUGCUGUUAAGAUAGAUACGCGUAGGAUACAUUUAUAUAUGUAAUUUAUGCCACGAUCACGUUGACACCACUGGUCCGUUAAUCUGAAUGAUAUAACCUUUAUUCACUAAAUGGUGGGAGGUUGAGGGCUCUAUGUUUUUUUAUUUACCUUUCAAGGGAAAUAGAAAAUAGGUGACAACUUUGGGUUAGAUUAAAGUUUGAUUCCUCGGCACAAUUGAAAUUUGUUUGUGUUUUAGUUGAUUUUCAAUCCAACUUUCUAAAUGUGAAAAAUAUCUUACAUUCGGUUUCAUUUUGUGAACCAUCCAAAUAGCAACACCACUUCAAAUGUUGUACGUCAUCUUCUUUUUCUUUUUUCCCAUUCUAUUUGCAAUGGCAUCAGAGUCUUCUAACUUCUGUUUAUAAAACUUUACUAAUGGAAUGACAAUAGAUAGUAACUAAUUGAGUGGAGUAGGGCCUAAACCAUUUAGAACAUUUAUGCGAAUUUCAAUCCAUUAACAUAAAUAACAUAGGGGAAGUACAAAAAACUCCACUAUGGUUCACAUUUAUUGCAUCUAAACCCUUAUGGUUUCUAUUGUUAAUUUAAAUCUAUAUUGUAUUUAAAAAUGUUGCCAACAAGGGCUUGCCGUCCGUGUGCCGUUAGGAGACGUGAUCGAAAAUGCCCUUUCUCUCUUCCAAUAAUAUUCUUAACGAUAUUCUCUCACUCUCUCUAUUGUUUCUCUCUACUCCCACAUCACUCUCUUGCGUCGUUAUUCACCAAAACACAGAAAAUUAGCGUAAAUUGGGUUCCAAGAUUAACAUAAAAUUAGAUGAAAAAACUUUAAUUCACAACUAGUGUGUAGAAAAUUCAUGGCCAAUUUUCCAGUAACUAUUUUGAUCCCUUUUCUUUAUUUAUUUUAUUAUUUAUUUUAGUUUUUCUUUUCUUUUCUUUUUCGAUUCUGGGAGUCAUAGACUUAUAGUAACUUUAAUUCACAAAGGGAAUCUCAACCAACACACAGAACCAUCUCAUAUGGCUUCUGCAACUAACCACUGUGAGAUAUAAAUUUGUAAUUGGCAUAUUUUGUUGUCAAAAUGAGUCCGAUUGAGUAAUAAAUUUUCAGUUUGAUUUGUCAAGAAUCAAGAUCGAAAGCGGAAUUGAAGAAGUAAUUGUGUUCAUGCUUCGAUACACUCUGGGAUGAUGGGAACAAUACUUUAGAGAGGUAAGAGAGUGUGAGUACACUUGGGAGGUUGAAACUUAAGGUUUUAAACAGAAUUUACAUUCUGCCCAACUUGAAUUGGUUCAAGAAUCUUGGAACAAGUUCAACAUUUGAGGCUUUUUGGUAUUUUUCAAGACAUGCCAUCUUAAACCGAUUCAAGAAUCAAAAGAAUUCUUCGAAUUUUACACUGGCCAUCUUGAACCGGGUUCCACUUUCCUGAACCGGUUCAAGGCCUUCAGAUUUGUUUUGGUAUGGUCUGUUUUGAUUCCUUUCGUGGGUAGACUUCUUUCCAAAAACCUAUGCACGAAAUUGACUUGGUUUCCAAGUAUAUUUAGGCCUUCCAAAUUUUUAUAUAAUCUCUCUUUGAUUCAACAUUGAGGUAUGGCUUUGAGGAACAAAAAUUCAUUAUUUUGAGAAAGCCUUUUGAGAGAUAUUUUUCAGAAAAUCAAAUCUGAUUUUAGUUUUGAGAGCACACACAUAAACACAAGAGUGAUUUAGUAGUGUUGUUCUCUAUCUCAUCGGAAUUGGAGCAUAAUUGAAGAUUUAGAAAUUCCGAAAAACAGAUCUAUUCUACAACAAAUUCAAAUUUGAAAAAGAAAGGUGUUUUGAAAGGGUCAAGGUGCUUUGCGAAGUGUUGGACGGGGAGUAAAUAUGAUUUUUCUGAUUUUAUUUUGCAAGGUUCAAGGAGUAAGUUUGAAGUCGAGAGCUGUUGGACGAGGGAGUCGCAAAGCCAGGAGUGUUCAGCGAGUUGGGUCUUGGUAGAGUGAAGGGGUGUGAGUCUAAGUCAAAGAUCAGUGUACUUUGUUUCAUACAUAGUGGAUCUUUUUAUGCUUGAGACAGCACACAAAACCUCAAGGUUUUCCAAUUGGCUUCCUCGCUAAAAUCUGGUGUCACUUUAACUUUACUUGCAUUUAUUUUUGCUUUGAUUAAUUUACUUUUAUUUCGAUAAAUUUAAUUUAAGCAAAAAUCGGAUAAAAGAACAAGUUGAACCUAUUCACCCCUUUUAGGUUUUUUUAAUAUAAACUUCCGCAUCUUAUUCCGCUGCCACAACUCACAACCACCACAACAUGAACAACGUCUGUCAGUUUCAUCCAAUCUGGCACUUCCAAUCUCUCCUCUCUCCUUGCCCCCCGAAACGGCACCAUCUCUGAUACCGACCUCCGUUCCACACUCGAAGGUUUGUGUCUCUCCUCAACAAAUUCUCUCUACCCAACUCUUUGUUGUUUGAUUCCACCCAGAACUACUCGUUUUCUUCAAGACAGUCACCUUCUUCACUCAAGGGCAUGUUGUCGAAGUUUGUCUACAGUGAGGGUUUCGAGUAAUGAAUGCUUCUGGUUCAGUCAGUGUAGAGAGAGAAAAUGAAAGACGGGAUUUAGAGAGAGAAAUGGGUUGUCUGAAUUGGGUUUUGUGCAUGGGUGGGGGAUGAUUUAGGGGCAAGUGAAGACACAUGUCUAAUCUUGCCCAUUUUUGUCUUUUCACAUAAUGCUUAUGUUUUAUUCUUUUUUUAAUUCAGUGAGGGAGGGUAUUUUAUUCUUUUCAAGAUUCCAUCCAUGGUCGACUAAUGUCAGGCCCUCAUUUGCACCUAAAUUUUACGUGAGGGGUGUUUAGAAACAACAAGGGGUGUACCAUAUUCACUAUAAGGGUGUUUUUCGCACUUCAUCCAAUAGCAUAUUGAAGCUUCUAUCUACUGGUGGUGGCUGUGGUUUUUUGCUUCAAUGUGAUCACGAUUCACAAGUUGUUGGAGUGGUAGGUGUCCAGUUAUUUGUUAACGGUCUUAUUUUGCCCUUUGUUGGUGGGGCUUUGUUUGUGGAUGGUCAGUGAAACACGCCUACCAAUUGUAGAGCUACUUUCAAGUUUCCUGCUUUUCAUCAAACAUUGACUGCUCCUACCAAUUUAUAGAAGCCCCAAUGAAAAACCUCUGACCACCCGCUGGUCUUUUAAGGUAUAAUGCAAAAAAAAAAAAAAAAAACGAAGAAAAAAAAGAGGUUCUCCUUGAUGUUUGUGCUUGAAUAUAAGAAAAAGAAAAAGAAAACGUGAGAACAGAAUGAGCAAACUAAAAAAAAAGAAAAGAAAAAAGGACAGAACCCUAAUUUCGUCUCCUUCAACCUUUUUUAUUAUUAUUAUUAUUUUUUUUUUUGAUACAUAUAAUUCCCCUCAACCUUCUCUACACAUCCACCGAUUGAGAUUCCUGAUUUAGAGAGGUUUUGAGAAUUUGAGUGAAUCGGGUCUAGCAUUAGAGGUAGGGGUAUUCUAGCCCACAAUUUCUGAUUUGUUCCUUUUGUGCUCUUUGUGAAUAAGCAUGCUUAUUUCAACUCUUUUAAUAUUUGUAUAUGGGAACGACAUAAAUGGUAUUAAUCUACCAUAAUUCCUAUUUCAACUCUUUUAAAUCUAUAUAUGUGAAUGACAUAUAUGAUAUUAAUCUACCAUAAUAUAAACAUGCUUAUUCACAAAGAGGUUCUCCUCACAUCAAUUGUUCGAAAUUCUUAAUUUAGGGAAGUUUCGGGAAUCGAGUGCAUCGGGCCUAACAUUAGAGGUAGGGGUGUACUAAUUCCUUUAACCCGUUAAAGGAGUUAAUACAUCCCUACCUUUAAUGCUAGGGAAUGUGAGUAUCGUUCUUGGACUUUUAUUAGAAUACUCCUACCUUUAAAAGGAACAAAUGACAGAUAAUGGUUAAAAACAAUUAGAAUAUCCCUAUCUCUAAUGCAACGUGCUCCACACAUCAAUAGUUCGAUUUUGUAAUUUAGAGAAGUUUUGGGAAUUGAGUGAAUCGAACCUAGCACCAGAAUUUCAUCAACAGUUCGGAUUUCGUUCUUGGACUUUUGAAUGAUUUUGAACAUGUAGAAUUUGAAAACUUGAAAAAAACAGGUUCUCCUCGGUUUUUGUGCUUGCAUAUAAAAGUAAAAAUAAAAAUAAAAAUAAACAAAAUGUAAGAACAAUAGAAUGAGAAAAUAAAAGGAAAGAAAAAAGGCAGAACCCUAAUUUCUUCUCUCUCAUUUUCUUCUCCUUCAACCUUUUUUUUUCAAUAAUUCCCCACGAUGUGCGAUCCAGAUACUUGAUUUAGAGAAGUCAGGUCUAGCCUUAAUGGUAGGGAUAUUCUAACUCUUUUAACCCACGGUCUGUGAUUUGUUUCUUUUGUACUCUUUUUGAAUGAGCAUGCUUUUAAAAUCUACCAUAAUAAAAACAUGCUUAUUCACAAAGAGUUGCUCCACACACAUCAACCAUUCGAAAUUCCUAAUUUAGAGAAGUUUCGGGAAUUUAGUGAAUCGGACCUAGCAUUAGAAGUAGGGUGUAUUAACUACUAGGGAAUGUGAUUUUCAUUCUUGGACUUUUAUUAGAAUACUUCUACCUCUAAAAGGAACAAAUGACAAAUAAUGGUUAAAAACAAUUAGAAUAUCCCUACUCUAAUGCGACGUGCUCCACAUAUCAACCGUUCAGAAUUCAUAAUUUAGAGAAGUUUUGGGAAUUGAGUGAAUCGUACCACUAGAGAUAGGGGUAUUUUAAUUCUUUUAACAUAUCGUGGGUCAAAAGUGUUAGAAUAUCCCUAUCUGUAAUGUUAGGGAAUGUGAUCUUCGUUCUUGGACUUUUAUUAGAAUAUACCCUUUGCUCUAAUGCUAGAUCCGUUCUUGGACUUUUGAAUGAUCUUGAAAAUGUAGAAUUUGACAACUUGGUUCUCCUCGGUGUUUGUGCUUGAAUAUAAAAGUCAAAAUAAAAAUAAUAAAACUAAAA